CAUCAAUACACGUCCCACUCGCGACAGGUGGUGACGGUGGUGAGGGUAGUGAUGUUGGAAAAGCUCUUUCUCUCUCUUUCUCAAUAUGCAAGGCUUCAAGCAACAUUACGUCUUCUGCUUCAACGUCAUUCCUUUGUUAAAUGAUAUAAUUCAAUCGAAGUCAGUUUCACUAAAAGGCCGGGAUUCCCUCGUAUUAAUACAAAUGGGAGGACCCGGCAGAGGAGAGGAGGCUGACUAGGUAGGGAGAGACAGGAAGAGACAAGGAGAGACAAGGAGAGACAGGAAGAGACAGGGAGAGACAAGAGAGGCAGGGAAAACAGGGAGAGACAAGGAGAGAUAUAUCUCUUCUGUAUUUUUUUCCCCAAUCAAAAUGCGCUAGAAGUGUCAUUUUAUACUACUUAAGAAGCAUUACUCUCGUAAUGCUUAUGAAGUGUUUCUUAUCGAUACUUCAUUAGGAAUUAAAUUAUUUUACGCCAGUCAUUUCGAGAUUAAACGGUAAGAUAAUCGCGGCAAUCCUUAAACAACGAAUUAUCGAUGUCAGUAGAAAUAUUGAUUGUAGCUAUCACGCGGCGAUAUAUGUCCGAAAUUAAAAUCACCCGCGAUAGGAUCGUUCGAUUUCCCGCGGACUUCAAUUCAUCGAAUUCGUUCAACCUUCGCGCUUCUCUCGCACACGUGCUUUUCCAACAGUUCCGCCCUAACCUGGUCGGACGUGUUUGAACUUUCGGAUGUGAUCUGUGAUUUUUUUGAAAAAUAUUUUGGAAUUAUUCUCAAGGAACAUUAAAGAUCAUCUAUUAAUCGGAGAAUGGCAUUAUCUAAUUUUGCUCUAACAAUCAAUAAUUUAUUGUAAAUUAAUCUGAAUAAAAAUAGGCGAAGGAAUGGGUUAAGAAGAUGAAUUGCAUGUCACGUUAAUUUACAAGAAAUUAUUGAUUGUUAGAACAAAAGGGCAGUGCACGGAAUAUCUUUUGUUUACAACAACUUUGUAAACAAAUUUGUUUAAUCGAUUGCAAGUGUUACUUCAUGGAUAUAUAUUUUUAUUUUAACAUAUUUUGCAAUAAUUCUUAGCAUGCAUUUUCUCGCUUCUGACGUCAUUAAAAAGAGAUAGACAAUGCGAGGGGCCAAGAGCCUUAAGUGUGUAUCAUUAACACAUUUACUUAAAUUCUCUUCAUUUAAAACUGAAUAAACUUUAUUUAAUCUUUAGACCACCGGGGUCUGAAGUAUUUGAAUUCCCGAAGAAAAUCACCUUAAAAAAAGUACUUUAUAGGUAUAUACAAAGAUAUAUACAAAGAUAUAUACAAAGUUUAUAUACAAUAGAUAUAUACAAAGUUUCGAUCACGGCUCGCGCCUAUAUUUAGCGCGCUUUUGAGAACACCGACUGACUAUUUCUAUUUCUCUGAACGAUAUAUAAUGUGCAAUAUAUGUCAAUACAGGAUUGCAAACUGACCUGCAUGAUUCGUUGCACACGAAGAACAAAAACAUUUUGCGUCUCAAAAUUUGCAGAUUACACAUACAGAUUAUACACUUGGUUCUUUUUUCCGGCGGUCUAAAGAUUAAACUGAGUAAACAGUACUCAGUUUAAAUGAAAAGAAUUUUGAUUUAAAUAAAUAUAUUAAUGGUAUUCACUUAAUAAAUAAUUGUCAAUUUUUAGAUGUUUUUUCUCAGUGUAUAAAUUCAUAAAAUCAUUUUCUUUAACACGACAGAUCAAACACGUGUUUACCUGAAGUGGCUUAAUAUAGCGAUCCGACCAGAAAUAAUGAUUACUGCUAUCGAUGGGAAGCGCGAGCACACGUUGCUCGUCGAGGAGUUCUUGCAAAAUUAGAGGAGCAAAACUUACUGUACUGUGCCAUGAGUGGCAGCCAGUUUUUAUGUCCAUCAAGCGCGUCUCCCCACCGAAUCGCUCUUCGAAUACGUUUGGCGCUUCAAACUAUCCCGGUAAAAUAAUGUCGUUACCACACAACAUUAAAGGAGCAGACCGCAUUCUAAGCGAGGCAUUUGUAGCGUCGAGCAAACUAAAUCCUUUGUCAAAUCACUUCCAUCCUUCUGCGAAGCAUUCGAUUCAUUCCUCGUUGCGAAAACCUGCAAGAGUAAAGCUUUAUACUGAAUAUCGUGAACGUGAUAUACCGCGUACAUCGAGUAUCAAUAAAAAACAAUUAAUUUUCAACGCCAGUUGCAAGCGAUAUCGCAAGACGUCAUCGAUCGACGAUAACAAACCGCGUUUGUUUCUCCUUUUUUCUUUCCGUCGCAUUGUGCGAGAGAGAUUUAUUUCUGGGAGGGAAUGUCAAUUGUGCAAUGUAAUUAAUUAUUCGAUGAAAAUAAAUAUCGUCGAAAAAAAAAGAGCGAGAGCUCUCCAAUUUGGCCUUUAUGUUAAAUACUCCAAAUAAUGCGUCGAGUGUCGUGAUAAAGCACAUCUUUGACUAAACAUAAUGCCGGUACAAGAGGUAAGCGACGAAUGAUACUAUCUUAUCGAGAGAUAAAUGACAAACGAUACUAUCUUAUCAAGAGAUCUUAUGGGGAUUAAUUAUUGAUAGAGAUUUUUAUAUAUUGUAUUCGUUUUUUUCCCGUCGCGCUAAUUGAGAAUAUGCUUGUGCCAAAAGCGAGAGAGAAAGAGAGAGGGGAGCGAGGAAGGGAGAGAGAGAGAGAGAGACGGGAAUAAUUUUAUGUAUGGCAUGAAUAAUUUUAAGUAUAGCCGAGGAUGAAAUUCGCAUAUUAUUCCAACGUUCAAAAUAGCAUUUUUUUAUUUAUAUUUCACCAACUACGUCAACAACCGAUUAUGCUUGCUAUAAUGAAGCUCAAUAAAGCGCAGAAGUUGCAUCAGAAUAGCGAGAUGUACAUUUGAUUAAAUCAAUCUGUAAUUGGGACUCGACUGAUGUAAUCUUCCUCUUCUGAUCACUAAGCCGUCGCGUUAUCACCGUGAGUGUCAUCAUAAGUCGACCGCGACGACAUAUUCAAUUCCUGACCCACUGUGCAUCGCGGACACACACUCGACUUCCUUGUCCUGACAACGCCAUUGAAAUGAUACAUAAAAGUGUCGCAAUGACGAAGCGCGCUUCUGAAAACACCGACUAACUAUUUUUAUCUCUCUGAACGCUAUAUGAUGUAACAAUAUACGUUAAUAAGGAUUGUAAACCGACCUACAUGUUCGUUGCACGUGAAGAACAAAAAUAUGCGCAUUGAAAUUUGCAGAUUAUAAAAGUUGCUACAGAAAA